GGUGGGGUUCCCGAGCGGCCAAAGGGAGCUGACUGUAAAUCUGCCGUCAUCGACUUCGAAGGUUCGAAUCCUUCCCCCACCACCA
rnacentral:tRNA from 1 species